GACGAACGCUGGCGGCGUGCUUAACACAUGCAAGUCGAACGGAAAGGCCCUGCUUUUGUGGGGUGCUCGAGUGGCGAACGGGUGAGUAACACGUGAGUAACCUGCCCUUGACUUUGGGAUAACUUCAGGAAACUGGGGCUAAUACCGGAUAGGAGCUCCUGCUGCAUGGUGGGGGUUGGAAAGUUUCGGCGGUUGGGGCUGGACUCGCGGCUUAUCAGCUUGUUGGUGGGGGAGUGGCUUACCAAGGCUUUGACGGGUAGCCGGCCUGAGAGGGUGACCGGCCACAUUGGGACUGAGAUGCGGCCCAGACUCCUACGGGAUGCAGCAGUGGGGAAUAUUGCACAAUGGGCGGAAGCCUGAUGCAGCAACGCCGCGUGCGGGAUGACGGCCUUCGGGUGGUAAACCGCUUUCGCCUGUGACGAAGCGUGAGUGACGGUAAUGGGUAAAGAAGCACCGGCUAACUACGUG
rnacentral:rRNA from 1 species